GGAACAGUGGCACAGUGGUGAACACCGCUGUCUUGCAAUGAGGAGGUUCUGGGUUUGAUCCUCGCCUGUCCCG